rnacentral:rRNA from 1 species
GACGAACGCUGGCGGCGUGCUUAACACAUGCAAGUCGAACGGAAAGGCCCUGCUUUUGUGGGGUGCUCGAUUGGCGAACGGGUGAGUAACACGUGAGUAACCUGCCCUUGACUUUGGGAUAACUUCAGGAAACUGGGGCUAAUACCGGAUAGAAGCUCCUGCUGCAUGGUGGUGGUUGGAAAGUUUCGGCGGUUGGGGAUGUACUCGCGGCUUAUCAGCUGGUUGGUGGGGUAGUGGCUUACCAGGGCUUUGACGGAUAGCCGGCCUGGGAGGGUGAACGGCGACAUGGGGACUGCGAUACGGCCCAGACUCCUACGGGAGGCAGCAGUGGGGAAUAUUGCACAAUGGGCGGAAGCCUGAUGCAGCAACGCCGCGUGCGGAAUGACGUGCUUUGGGUUGUAAACCGCUUUGGACUGUGACGAAGCGUGAGUGACGGUAAUGGGUAAGGAAGCAACGGCUAACUACGUG